CCUACGGGUGGCAGCAGUGGGGGAUAUUGCACAAUGGGGGGAACCCUGAUGCAGCGACGCCGCGUGUGGGAAGACGGUCCUCUGGAUUGUAAACCACUGUCCCCAGGGACGAAAAUGACGGUACCUGGGGAGGAAGCUCCGGCUAACUACGUGCCAGCAGCCGCGGUAAUACGUAGGGAGCCAGCGUUGUCCGGAAUUACUGUGUGUAAAGGGAGCGUAGGCGGGGAUGCAAGUUGGGGGUCAAAACUACCGGCUCAACUGGUAGUCGCACUCAAAACUGCAGCUCUUGAGUGAAGUAGAGGGAGGCGGAAUUCCUAGUGUAGCGGUGAAAUGCGUAGAUAUUAGGAGGAACACCAGUGGCGAAGGCGGCCUGCUGGGCUUUUACUGACGCUGAGGCUCGAAAGUGUGGGGAGCAAACAGGAUUAGAUACCCCUGUAGUC
rnacentral:rRNA from 1 species